rnacentral:rRNA from 2 species
GAGACCUCAGGUCAGACGG